GCAUUAGCUCAGUUGGUAGUUAGAGCAUGGUGCUGAUAAUGGCAAGGUUGCAUGUUUGAUCCCCGUAUGGGACA